UAAAAAGAUAAGCUAAAAUAAGCUAACGGGCUCAUACCCCGUAAAUGAAAGUUUCAACCUCUCUCUUUUUAA
rnacentral:tRNA from 1 species